rnacentral:rRNA from 1 species
AACGAACGCUGGCGGCAGGCUUAACACAUGCAAGUCGAACGAGAUCUUCGGAUCUAGUGGCAGACGGGUGAGGAACACGUGGGAACAUCCCUUUCAGUUCGGAAUAACGUUGGGAAACUAACGCUAAUACCGGAUACGUCCUUCGGGAGAAAGAUUUAUCGCUGAAAGAUUGGCCAGCGCCUGAUUAGCUAGUUGGUGAGGUAACGGCUCACCAAGGCUACGAUCAGUAGCUGAUCUGAGAGGAUGAUCAGCCACAUUGGGACUGAGACACGGCCCAAACUCCUACAGGCGGCAGCAGUGGGGAAUAUUGGACAAUGGGCGCAAGCCUGAUCCAGCCAUGCCGCGUGAGUGAUGACGGCCUUCGGGUUGUAAAGCUCUUUUGUCCGGGAAGAUAAUGACUGUACCGGAAGAAUAAGCCCCGGCAAACUUCGUGCCAGCCGCCGCGGUAA